ACCUGGCUGGCUCAGUCUGUAGAGCAGGUGACUCUUGAUCUCUGGUUGUGAGUUCAAGCCCCACGUGUGGUG
rnacentral:tRNA from 1 species